UCAUUGUGCUAGGGGCGCUACUAUGUGGCUGAGAAGAACCCUUUGAACCUGAACUGGAUUAUACCAGCGUAGGAAAGUGUCAUACUGAUUAU
rnacentral:ncRNA from 1 species